GUGCUCACUUAAGUAGCACAUAUACGAAAAUUGGAAUGAUAGAGCAAAAAUCAUUAACAUGGUGCCUGUGUGAGGAUGAUUUGCAAAUUUGUGAAGUGUUCCAUAUUUUU
rfam:Ailuropoda melanoleuca scaffold1720_22, whole genome shotgun sequence.